UGUAAGCGUAUACCAAAGUUGUUGCAGUUAAAACGCUCGUAGUCGGAAUUUGGCAGUUCCGGAUGUGUGCACGUCGUGUGCGCACUUCGCGGGGAUUGCUUUUGUGGUCUUGCGUAGGAUGAGGCACUUUUAUUAGUGAACGUCCUCACGCAACCACUUUUUACUGUGAGAAAAUCAGAGUGCUCAAAGCAGGCAUUUGCCGUGAAUGUAUUAGCAUGGAAUAAUAGAAUAGGACUUGGUUCUAUUUUGUUGGUUUGUUGGGACUGAGUAAUGAUUAAGAGGGACAGUUGGGGGCAGUUGUAUUUCGGUGCUAGAGGUGAAAUUCUUAGAUUACCGAAAGACAAACUGCUGCGAAAGCGUCUGCCAAGGAUGUUCUCAUUGA
rnacentral:rRNA from 1 species